UACUCUCACACUUCUGAUCCUUUGGAUCGGGAGCGGUGGACUUGGGUGCUGCUGCUUUACUGUGGCUCACCUCAAAUGCAUUAGUGCAACUCUUGGUUGGACAUAGUACGGCGUGAUAAGUGUCUUCGCCGGCACCUCGCAAGAGGGUGGCUGAUCAGGGCUCUGUGCUUUCCAACUGUCUUCAGACAACAACUGACA
rnacentral:misc_RNA from 1 species